rnacentral:rRNA from 1 species
AUUUGAAAUCUGGCUCUUUCAGAGUCCGAGUUGUAAUUUGAAGAAGGUAUCUUUGGGUCUGGCUCUUGUCUAUGUUUCUUGGAACAGAACGUCACAGAGGGUGAGAAUCCCGUGCGAUGAGAUGAUCCAGGCCUAUGUAAAGUUCCUUCGAAGAGUCGAGUUGUUUGGGAAUGCAGCUCUAAGUGGGUGGUAAAUUCCAUCUAAAGCUAAAUAUUGGCGAGAGACCGAUAGCGAACAAGUACAGUGAUGGAAAGAUGAAAAGAACUUUGAAAAGAGAGUGAAAAAGUACGUGAAAUUGUUGAAAGGGAAGGGCUUGAGAUCAGACUUGGUAUUUUGUAUGUUACUUCUUCGGGGGUGGCCUCUACAGUUUAUCGGGCCAGCAUCAGUUUGGGCGGUAGGAGAAUUGCGUUGGAAUGUGGCACGGCUUCGGUUGUGUGUUAUAGCCUUCGUCGAUACUGCCAGCCUAGACUGAGGACUGCGGUUUAUACCUAGGAUGUUGGCAUAAUGAUCUUA